rnacentral:rRNA from 1 species
AUUGAACGCUGGCGGCAGGCCUAACACAUGCAAGUCGAACGAGUGGCGGACGGGUGAGUAAUGUCUGGGAAACUGCCCGAUGGAGGGGGAAAACUACUGGAAACGGUAGCUAAUCCCGCAUACCAUCAGAUGUGCCCAGAUGGGAUUAGCUAGUAGGUGGUGUAAUGGCUCACCUAGGCGACGAUCCCUAGCUGGUCUGAGAGGAUGACCAGCCACACUGGAACUGAGACACGGUCCAGACUCCUACGGGAGGCAGCAGUGGGGAAUAUUGCACAAUGGGCGCAAGCCUGAUGCAGCCAUGCCGCGUGUGUGAAGAAGGCCUUAGGGUUGUAAAGCACUUUCAGCGAGGAGGCGUUACUCGCAGAAGAAGCACCGGCUAACUCCGUGCCAGCAGCCGCGGUAAUUC